rnacentral:rRNA from 1 species
GAUGAACGCUGGCGGCGUGCCUAAUACAUGCAAGUCGAGCGAACGGACGAGAAGCUUGCUUCUCUGAUGUUAGCGGCGGACGGGUGAGUAACACGUGGAUCACCUACCUAUAAGACUGGGAUAAUUUCGGGAAACCGGAGCUAAUACCGGAUAAUAUUUUGAACCGCAUGGUUCAAAAGUGAAAGACGGUCUUGCUGUCACUUAUAGAUGGAUCCGCGCUGCAUUAGCUAGUUGGUAAGGUAACGGCUUACCAAGGCAACGAUGCAUAGCCGACCUGAGAGAGUGAUCGGCCACACUGGAACUGAGACACGGUCCAGACUCCUACGGGAGGCAGCAGUAGGGAAUCUUCCGCAAUGGUCGAAAGCCUGACGGAGCAACGCCGCGUGAGUGAUGAAGGUCUUCGGAUCGUAAAGCUCUGUUAUUAGGGAAGAACAUAUGUGUAAGUAACUGUGCACAGCUUGACGGUACCUAAUCAGAAAGCCACGGCUAACUACGUG